rnacentral:rRNA from 1 species
GACGAACCAUCCAAACGUUAUUCGGAAUUACUGGGCUUAAAGGGUGCGUAGGCUGCGCAGAAAGUUGGGUGUGAAAUCCCUCGGCUUAACCGAGGAACUGCGCCCAAAACUACUGUGCUUGAGGGAGACAGAGGUGAGCGGAACUUAGGGUGGAGCGGUGAAAUGCGUUGAUAUCCUAAGGAACACCCGUGGCGAAAGCGGCUCACUGGGUCUCUUCUGACGCUGAUGCACGAAAGCUAGGGGAGCAAACAGG